UGCCUCUGAGCAGAGGGUAAAUGGUCAUAGCAGUGCAGAUACCUAGUUCUCUGCAUACGCAUGAUAUUUUGGAAGGUGCACCUGAUAAAUCAGGCUUCUGCAUGAUUUAUAUCAGUGCAGAGAAUGCUAUGAAUUUUUGAAGAGUGUUGCUGGAACAUUACACCCAGAAGCAGGAUGGCAAUCUAAGCGAUUUUUCAACCUUGAGAAGUUGACAGACUGCGAAAGGUCUGUGUGAACCUUACUGUUAAAAUGGAAAGGAAUGGUAUUUGGGUGAAACUGAUUCAUCCUUCAAGGCAUCUCCCUUGUCUUCUAUGCAUGCUACUUUCUCAGGCAGCAUUGGGUUUUGACAGCAUUCUGGAAGAUCUUGGCCAUAGAAGAUGCUGAUAAUCACCAGUGACAUUACUGGGCUGGAUGCAGCAGAAGUUACAAAGCAAGGGGUGUUAGAGGAUCUGAUAGUAGGCAGAGUGGGGAGGAAAGCUCCAAAUCUAAUCACUACGAGGAUGAAAGAACAAUGAGUAACUGUGGAGCUAAGGCUGGAGAUGAAGAUGAAGUUCAGAUGUGAAUUGGAAAAGUCAUGUCAUAUAUAUAUUGGUGACAUGAUAUAAAGAUGUGUGUGCACAUGUAUGAACACAUGUGGCUGCAUAUGGGAUGAACUUGCAACUGCAAUGUCCAGAUGGCUAUCGUGGAAUGAUGCAAUGAAAAGAAAUAAUCAUUUAGAGUAUCCUGUUCAAGAUCAGAAUUCAGUGUAAGUUGUUUUCAGAGCAUGGCAUUAGAAUUCUUCAGUGUUUUUUGAUGGUGUACAUUCAUAAUAAUAUGAAAGGAUGUUAAAGAAACAUGAUCUUCAUCCAGAUAUACUUGCAAAGACUUUAAAUAUGAAGGUACCUAUAUCUUCUUCCUUGGGGUUGACUGGAGUACAGUUAAUCUGGGAAACACAUUGUGCAAUGUGAUUCUUAUCAGACAAUCGUGAGGUGUUUUCAAAUUUGAAGUAGUAGUUGAUUUCUUAUCCUAAAAAUAAGGACCAUAUGGUUUUGUGACUAGUUCCCUGACUGGCCUCCCAGCUCAUUUGGUCUCUGGCUUCCUGACAAAAUUGCUGGCUUUCUUUGGUCAUGCAUCAGAGUAAGCUAUUCGUUUUAAACAGAACCUUAACUUGUAAAACAAAGCUUUAGUAACUCAUGUCUACAGUAAUAUGCAAAUCUGAUUUACUAGCAUGUAUAAAACAGGCAUCAGAUCUGUGGAGGACAUGUGAAAUUUUUCCAAGAUAAUACAUGAAAGCUUUGACAACUAUUUAUUUUUCUUUCUCAUCAGGGCGUGGUGAACACUGGUUACACAGACUUGCCAAGUAUAAUGGCUACUCAAGCCAGUAGCAUUUAUUCCAAUAACAUCUUGAAAUUAUUAAAGCUAUUUCUCCUGACAAAGAAUAUUUUCAGUUUGAAUGAAAGGAUGAUUUAGAUUAUGGGGCUAUUGAUCACGUCAUUAGAAGAAUUUUGGUAAUGAAGGCGAGUUUCAACACCACUUAAAUUUUUUUGAUUAUAAAAUUAAAUGUAUUGUAUGAAAGCAGAGAUUUUUUUAGUGCGUUUAACCAAUCCAUGAAAAACCAUUACUCAUAGUCCAUAUGAUAAUGUGAACUGAGUUUCUUGCAUGUUUCGAAUACUGAAAUAGGGCAAAAAUAUAUUUACAAAAACUUUACACGAAAAUCAAUGUUGCACUUUGAACUUGUGUUUUUUAAAGAAUACAUUACUGAGAGUCGGCACAUCUGCUGAGCUACUAAAAGGUACUUUAAGAAAUGUAACUUCAAGUGUCAGAUAGUUUAUGGACUCAACAAUGUGUUGAACGAAGGUGCUAUGGUAAGUAGAAAUAGGUGAGCUGCAUGUGAUGCUCAUAAGGACUUGAAGUAGUGCAAGUACUAGAAAUGUCAAAUGGUUUGACACUUUCAUUUCUCUGCCAAGGUCAGGAAAGGUAGGGCAUCAUUGCUUAUAAGGGCAUAGUGUUCUUCUAUUGAAGCAAGCAGGCAUUUAGCCUCAGAAUAUGAAAUGGAUUUCAACCCUGAUAUGACAGCGUUAAGCUAGGUCCUGCAUAGUCUCUGUAGUAGCAGUAGCCUGUAUACCUUCCUACAUCCUUUGACCCCUUAUUCUGGGGAACUGAAAAGAAAUAGAUAUGCAGUUAAUAUGGGAGUCAGCUGUGAAAUAUAUGAAAAAUUAGAUUUGCCCUUACUGAUGGCUGUGACUGACUAAAUGCAAGAUAUUUAUUUAGACAGACAGACCUUUUCAGUUAUUUUUAUUCUGGAUGUAAUAGAAAGUAAGCUUUAAUUUCUGUUGUCAUGGCGAGUUAAGAUUGACAGGAAUCUGUAUCUGCCUGCAGGUAGCAUUAAACCAAAGUACAUUCAUGCUAAACAAAUGUUGGCAGGCUGGAAUUACUGUUUGGCUAAGGAAGUGUUUGUAAGGAGAAGCAUAUUCAUGUCAGUUUUUAAGGAAUGUAGCAUAGGACUUCAUUUUUCUCAUUUAAUCUUUGGGAGGGCAGAGCAAGGCAUGAUGGGGUUUGUUCUUUUUCUCUGAAGCAUUAAGUAUACUAUGUCUGACACAUACCAAGCCAAAUUUGGUGCAGUAAGUAACAUGAUGGUUUUUACAACUGACUGACUUCAAUGAUCAGUACUAUUUUACAGGAAAAGGUUAUUUCUAUUGGUAUAAGGUAAGGGCCAAAUCUGGUUCUAUUUACUCACGUGAGUAAUCCUACUAAUUUCAGAAGGAUAUAUGAGUAGCCAUGACAACUUUGAAUUGAGAACUUCUGAACGGUCAGUCAUGAUAUAAAGAAAAGCCAGAUGCUGUAGAAAUCCAGUCAUGAUCGUGUUGUUCCGUAACAAGAAGAUAGGGUCUGAUUUCUAGAAGCUUUCCCCAAAACAGCAUCCCAUCCUGCACCAAUGUUAAAAAAUAAAUAAAUAAAAUAGCCACACUUUUAAUCAAGGAAGAUGAUGACCAUGGCUGGAAUUUAUAUAGAAUCUACAAGGGAAUACAUUGAUCUUUGUUGUAGUCAGUUUGGCAUUUAAAUAUUACAAAUAAUGACAUAGAAAUAAAAUGAGCUCCAAAAGGUAAUGUGGCUUAACAUUGAAAAGUAGCAGACAGUGGUAAGCUAGGGUUGCUAAUAUAUCACGUUGUUUUCCAACUCAUUGAAAGAUUUAAAAUUCAACUUUUCAAGUUCCUUGGUGAAUCAUUGUAUACCUCUUGUUAACAACAAACUUCUGAUAUUAAUUAUAUGUGCAAUAAAGAGCCAAUAUGAUAUAGGUUAGCAAUCCAAUCCAGUGCCAAUUGAAAUUAACAUAGACUGUUUUCAAAAGCUUUUGAGUCAGGGCCUGUAUAUACUGCAUAACUCCAGAUGUCAUUAUCUGUGUUGAAAUGCAUGUAUGAAAUGAAAAUGAAUCAUAUAGCAAGGUUUUGAUUAUGUUGAAUAACAUUUUCCUCAUAAACAAGAUCAAGUCUUUUCACAUUAACUCCCUUUAAAAACAAUGAUAGAAUGAAAAAAAAAAAAAGUAAUAUAAAUGUUAACAGAAAAGGAUGCAUGUAGCACAUCUUUUCAAGAGUUCAUGACCUUCAAAGCUACCAUACAAAGUGAGUAACAUUAGAAAUGUCUAUUAGCUCAAGAAAAGCAAUUUUUUUUCCCAUUUGGUACAGGAGCUUGGUCUUAAAGGAAUAAAAGAGUGAAAGAAGUCCAUUUCAGUUAGUGAAUCAUUCUAUAGCCAAAUUUUGCGCUGUAUCUAAAAGAUCUUUCUUACUGCCUCCUUCUGACAUCACUGACUUGGAAUGUGUCAUCCAAAGUAUCAUCUUUUUCAUGCCUGAGUUUCAAGAUCUAUUUUCUUUUAUUAAUAUCAGACAAAUUUUGUACAAGUUUUAAAGUUUUGAUUACAACUUCCUAAAAUGAUAACCUAACCAAAAAUUAAUCCCCUGUGAGAUAGACAGACUCUUGUAUUAUUACUACAUUGGGUUUUGUCUUGGUAAGAGAAAUUCAUAUUGGUACAUUCAUUUGCUUAGAGUAUACUUGGGUAUAUUUUAACAAAACAUUGUGCAAGUGAUGACAAAAUGUGUCUCCAAGUAAAAUAUUGUAUUAUUUUGGAUUAAUGAAAUGAUCUCGUCUUUUCCUAAAGAGGGAAAAACAUUUCCUUAAACUCCCAACACAUAUGGUCAAAUGGACUAGUACUGGGAGCAAUAAUAUUUUCUCCCAAGGAAGUAUUGUUGAACUAUUUGUGUGGUCUGCAUCUUUUAAUAAUGUUCAGAUGAUACAGUGUAGUCUGUAUUCCUACUAAAGCAAUAAAGGUUGUGAGAAGUCACUGGGGAAUUUGACAUAUUUCUUCUUCUUCCCUUUUUAUUUAAACGAACAGAACAAUUUCUCCAUAUUUGCCCAACUGAAGAGAUGUUGUUUGGCAGCCCCAUAUGCAUUUGUAGGACUCUGCAGUCUCCACUUCAUACCCAGGUUGACAAAGAUUCUGUUAUUCCAAAACUAGUUUUCUGGCAAAAGCAGGGUAUAGAAGUUAGGCAUGUAAAAGCAUGGGCAGGAAACAGA